rnacentral:rRNA from 1 species
CCCAAUGUGAACGUUACCAAACUGUUGCCUCGGCGGGAUCUCUGCCCCGGGUGCGUCGCAGCCCCGGACCAAGGCGCCCGCCGGAGGACCAACCAAAACUCUUUUUGUAUACCCCCUCGCGGGUUUUUUAUAAUCUGAGCCUUCUCGGCGCCUCUCGUAGGCGUUUCGAAAAUGAAUCAAAACUUUCAACAACGGAUCUCUUGGUUCUGGCAUCGAUGAAGAACGCAGCGAAAUGCGAUAAGUAAUGUGAAUUGCAGAAUUCAGUGAAUCAUCGAAUCUUUGAACGCACAUUGCGCCCGCCAGUAUUCUGGCGGGCAUGCCUGUCCGAGCGUCAUUUCAACCCUCGAACCCCUCCGGGGGGUCGGCGUUGGGGAUCGGCCCUCCCUUAGCGGGUGGCCGUCUCCGAAAUACAGUGGCGGUCUCGCCGCAGCCUCUCCUGCGCAGUAGUUUGCACACUCGCAUCGGGAGCGCGGCGCGUCCACAGCCGUUAAACACCCAACUUCUGAAAUGUUGACCUCGGAUCAGGUAGGAAUACCCGCUGAACUUAAGCAUAUCA